rnacentral:rRNA from 1 species
GGACUACCAGGGUUUCUAAUCCUGUUAAUUACCUAAGCCUUCGUACUUCAACGUCAGUUUAUACCUAGGAAGUCGCUUUCGCUAUUACCUGUUCCAGUAAGUAUUAUAGUAUUUCAUCACUUCACCAUACUGUACUCCGUUACCCCCUCUUAUAAAACUCUAGUAUAAAAUUAGUACCCUAUAGGGCUUAUUUUACCGUCUGAGUACCCUUUAAACCUAAUUAAGAUAAAUAACACUAGUCUUUCACGUAUUACCGCGGCUGCUGGCAC